UGCCUCCAGACUGGGUGCCGGACAGCACUUGUAGUCAUUGCAUGGCUUGCCACAUGCCUUUCACCUUUCUUCGUCGACGUCACCACUGCAGGAGUUGUGGAAAGAUCUUCUGCUCUCGCUGCUCAUCACACUUGGCACCUCUGCCCCACUUCAGGCAACCUAAGCCAGUUCGGGUCUGCACACACUGCUACACCACCCAUUUGCCUUCUACUAGUAAGAAUGCCAAUUGCUCAUGAUCAUCAACCUUGGUAUUGGCCUUCAUCAAAAACCAUCUGUUGUGCCUGAGGAAAUGCCAGACACUGGCGGAAGGCAAUCACGGCCUGUGAGCGACUGUGGGAGCAACCACACAUAGAAUUAGGAUGCACUUGGGAGGUCUUCGAAGGGCAUCUGAUGACCAGAGCAAGGGGUGGGGUGCAGAAAGGAACUCCAGAGUUUCAUCUGCCAUGUUUGAUAUAAAGAACACUUGGAACCCAUUUUGGCUUGAGCUAGAAUUAACUAAAGAUGAUGUUUGGUCAAACUCUUCUCAAUGUCAGUGAAAGCUUCUUUCCCCGUUUAGUCUUUUCUGUAAUGCGGGGAAACUGUGGCUAAUGUAGCACUUGUCUGGUGCUGACUGCUUGGCUUCCAUUGGAGAUUUUGUCUUCUGACCUACAGCUUCAUUUUUUGUACACUUGUGAGGUUGCAUUGCCAGAUCUGUCUAUAAGUGCAAUAAAGAUUUUGGGACACCUUUGAUAGAAAAGAGGAGUCUAGAAACAGCAACCUCGGGGAGGGCAGCCAUAGGUCUUUGACCACCAACUAAGGGCUACAAAAAUCUUCAUAGGCAAUGCACUUUCUGUAAAGCUUUACUACCACACUACUGUUUGGAAAAUGCUUUGGAAAUAUCUCUGGGAGACUUGCAGCUCCUCCUUCCUGAAACCUGUCGGCGCUUGUUAUUUUCCUGAAUACUUGAAUAAAUGCAGUCUGUUACUAUU